CCAAAAUAGAGGUGUUAAGACUGGCCGUGGCUCUACUGCUAAUGGUGAAUUUGGAAAUAUGGCCCUUAACCUACCAUUCCUCAAUUUCUUCUUGAGAUUAGGACAGAAUAAUAAAUAUGGUGAGUUUCUUUUUUUGUUGUCAAUCUUUCUUUUAUUGAAACAAGGGUGCAGUACUGUACAGAAGAGAAAAGAGGAGUUAUACUAAAUCCACAGUGACCCAAUAAACAUUUAUUAUAUAUUCUUCUUAAUUAACC